GCCAACCCGCGAGGGUGCGCUAAUCUCUUAAAGUAUGUCUCAGUUCGGAUUGUAGGCUGCAACUCGCCUACAUGAAGUCGGAAUCGCUAGUAAUCGCGGAUCAGCACGCCGCGGUGAAUACGUUCCCGGGUCUUGUACACACCGCCCGUCACACCAUGAGAGUUUGUAACACCCAAAGCCGGUGGGGUAACCUUUUAGGAGCCAGCCGUCUAAGGUGGGACAGAUGAUUAGGGUGAAGUCGUAACAAGGUAGCCGUAGGAGAACCUGCGGCUGGAUCACCUCCUUUCUAAGGAA
rnacentral:rRNA from 1 species